UUUGUACCAUGUGGGUAGCAGAACAUAUAUUCACUCCCAAAGCAACCAAAUCCCCCAAAGAGAUGUCCCAGUGCAAUGUGUUCUUCUUUACCAUCCAAGCUGCCUACUGGCUGUUUAUCAGAGCCAAAACAAGGCUCCUCCUGACGAUUCCUGUCUAGAAAUAACUAACAAGGUGAUAGUCAAGUCAUACUAAACUAAGGCAACUGCUGUGCCCCUAACCUGAGGGGCCAUGUCAAAAUUACUCAACGGUAUAGCUAGGGGACGUUCCCCAAAUACCCAUCACAGAUACAUCCGCAUGAUACAACCCUCUGCCCUGCUGGGUCCAAAUUAUUCUUUUGCCAGCAGCUUGUGGCCAUGUGACUCCAGAAUAGGGUUGCCACCUGUCCUGUAUAAUACAGGAUCAUCCUGUAUUUGUGUAAAAUACUAUGUCCUAUGUUGAUCCAAUACAAGACACAAUUUGCCCUGUAUUUCCUCUAUUUCUGUUCUGUUGUGCUCUUUUGCUUUCACUCCUUUGGCCAAGUUAGGGAUCUCCCCGCCCCCUCUCUCCCUCUCCCUCUUUCUUGGCCACAUUAGGGUUCUUCUCCACAUGCGCCCCCCCCCACUGCAGGGAAGGCAUGGAUCCAAGUGGUUUUUCUUUGGUCCCGCCAUUUUCCCUGGGAAAACCCGCUGUUUCCCCCUGAAUUGAAACAAAGGUAAAUUGGGUUUUCGACAAAUUGACAAUUCUUCCGAUUCAUCAGUAAAUGGCGGGUUUACCAGGGGAAAGCAGUGAAACAAAAAAGCAAAACUGCUCAGACCCCAUCCACUGCCCUGUGCCUAGAAAUUGUGGCACAAACCGAAGUCUGAAUGAGCCCUCAGACGUGUCAUGAAGCACAUGUCAUUGCUUCCAGUAGCUAAGUGGCUUGUAAAGUCAUUUUUAGUGGCCACACACAAAUUGACACUGGUAUAAUUCUAAAGGAAUAGUUUGCAUGGAGCAAUAAGCAAGGCAUUAGCGUAUAUAUGUAUAGAUAUCAUUGCAGUUACUUUUUUUUGUAGCUGUUGCUGUAGUCGCUGGGAAAUUCUGUUUGAAAUUCCCACUGCCUCGCAUAGCUUGCAUGCAGCAAUGGUAACCUAUUAGGCAACCGUUACUUGGAUGGUACCACAGGGUUUGACUUGAGCAUAGAUAGCCAUUCUUCAUUUCAUAUAACGUAGGGCCAGAAACACACCCUUCAUUAUUUUUACGUCUUGAAAACCUGUACGACUGUUGUGAAAUAGUAAGAGUUUGGCCCAUCCUGUUUGAUAAAAUCUUGAGAGAUGUUCCUGACUGCAAAGGCCUGAGUUUGGGCAUAUUGCUUAGUAUACGGAGAGUGAUCGCCUCUGAACCUGCCGCCAGUGUCUUCCCAUGUGUUUUGUGAAUUCCACCAGUGGCAGUUGAUUGAUCCCACCAUACACAUGUUUGUACUGGGGUUACAAAACCGAGAGUCUCUUUUGUUAAUUUCAUAGUUCCAAAUUAGACUAAAAGCCCAUCUUGAAGUUGCAUCCAACCUCCUAGCUCGGAAGCCACCUUGCAAACGGUGUUUGUCACAUGGCAAGUUCUUCUGCCGCCUGUUGGAAAACAGGAUUUUGACACACAUAGUAAUUCAACUAGAUGAGGCGGCUGCUACAGCAGAGCUACAAAAUUUGUGAAGGAGGUUUCUGAUGGAGAGCCUAUGGUCGUCGUCGUCGUCAUCCCCCCUCCCCGCCCCAGAAUGCCACACAUCCUCCUGCUAUCAUUCAUCAGCAGGAACAGGGCAGUGUUGCUUCCCAGGCUUCCCAAUGCAGAGGUCGCUGCUGCUAACUAUAAGGGGUGAGGCGGCAGAGCCGAUCUGUCACUCCUGAGGCUGCCCCUUGCCCCUCUCCCUCUUGGUUGCCAGCAGCGACUUCUGCAUUGGGAAGCCAAGUAAGUAACUUGUUUGAAAAUGUGCUGCGAGUGCCAUCACAAAAUGGCCGCUGUGGUGUGUGGCAUAACACAAAAUGGCUGCCACAUCUAAAAGAGCGGGGAGGGGAGAGGAACACAAAAUGGUGUGGGCAUGUUUCUCCUCAAUGAGAAAAAGCAUUUACACCAGCUACCUACCUCCAUGCUUGCUCACAGAGAGGAAGUUUUUUGCUCUGUUCUGAAGGAAGGGUGGGAAUGAAAUGUCAUGUUGAAGGAAGCAUAUUCAGUGUGGGAGAAACCAAACCAGGGCAAAGAGGAAUUGAGCAGGAAGAGCAAAUAGUCUGCCACGCAUUGUGGAUUUUUGAGGGGAUAAUUACUGAGAUCCUUCACAGCUGGCAUAGGAGGUAAUUGUGGGCACACUGGCACCAGGUUGGUAACCGUCGAAUUGAUCCAAUUGCCUGUUGCGUUUGGAGCACACACUCUUUUCCAAAGGUGGCAAAAUUAGCUCUCAAAGUCUAAAUUACUUCCAUCCUAUUGUAAUUCCCAUAAAUGCUUUAGGGUGGGAUCUAGCCACAUCUUCACUGAUGGAAUUUCCAAAACAUGAAGCAUAACCCUGUCACGAAGUGUUUUAAAGCCCCAUCAUCGCUGGAGCAUGGGGAAAGGGCUCUGUUUGUACGGAGGCUUAAGACUUGACCUGAGGGGAGAUUCAGUUCGGUUCUCAUUUAAACACAGGCCUAUGUAAUUUGCACUUCCUGAAACGCACAAACUGAUACACAGCCGUCCUUCAAGAUUUGCACUCCUUUGAAUUUUGCAAUGCAGUUCCCCAGCCAAAUACAAAAGAUGUAUAUAUUAGGGGAAAGUGUGCAUUAAAAUGCAUAUAUUAGUGAAAAUGACAUAGAGGAAUGUGUAUAUUUGACUAAACUGCAUACAGAAAUGUGUGUAUUGGGAGAAAUUCGCAUUAAAAUGCUGGAAAAUAUUUCAUGAGGACUCAUUUGGGGGGUGGGAAUUGUGAAAUGUGGAAAUGUGAAGAGCUGCACUUGAGACUGGGAAAAUGAGAAACACUCUUAGUUUCUCUAAAAUUAACAGAUUUGUCUGUCCAUCAUCAAGAAUCAUACAAUUAUUAGUUUCAACCCUAGGCCAUCAGUGCAGACUUGGAAGAUACAAAGUAAAGCUAAUAGACCUUUAGUUGAAAUCACAAAAGGCCGUGGCCACAAGGCGUAGCUUCUAAAAGGCAAGCAGAUGUCUUCUCAAAAUGUUGCUUUUCAUUAAGCAGCUCACCCAUUUUGGCUCAGAGCCUUGUUGCCCACUUUAGGGACACGGCAUGUGGUUCCUUCUCUGCUAUGUUAAAACCAGAAUAGAGUCAAUUUUGAUAUUCAUAUGUGAAAACAGGCCAAAGGCAGAAGGCCAGAAACAGCUGCACAGAACAGAAAUAGGUGGAGUUGGUUUUUUACACACAUUUUGCAGCCCAAGCCUAUACAUAAUUACAGUGGUACUUCAGUUUUCGAACGUAAUCCAUUCUGGAAGACUGUUCGAGUUCCGAAACGUUUGAAAACCAAAAACUCAAUAUGGAAGCCUCAACAUGGAAAACUCAAUAUGGAAGCUGCGUUUUAUGUUCGACUUCUGAGGUACGUUCGAAAACCGAAACAUUUAUUUCUGGGCUUACAGUGUUCGAGUUCCAAAAUGUUCCUCAACGGAUGGAGACAGAACCUGCUUGUCACAUGGCCAGAUGUGGCCCCCCAAAAAUAGUUGAUUUAAAGUCAUUGCUGUUUCUAGAUGGAGGUUUAUAGUGGGAUCAGGACUCCUUUCUACGGGGGGCGGGGACUGUGGUCAAUGGCAACAAUUUGCAAUAGCCCAAUGAUCAGUUUGCAAAUUAAGUCCCCAUAUGGAAGCACCCUGCAAGUCAUGCCUUCCUUGUAGCAAUGAAUGACACUUCUCCUUCCUGUUGCAUGCCCCUCACAGCUACUUUUGAGGUGGGUGACCCUCUGGAAUGCCAUGGGAUGUGGCAUGGGGGGCGGGACUAUAGCAGGAAGGGAAAAUGGAUGCAUACUGCUUGCAUAAAAAGUGGUUUCUGCUAAUAUCGUGGGAUCCAAACCAAUCUCUCUUGCGUCUACCCUAGUUCUCAUGUGAAAAUCCACAAACUAUAUGAAGAUCCCAAUUCCUGCUUUUUUAAGAGUUCAUGACCCCAGUACAGAAAGGCACAUAUACACCUUGCUAGAUGAGGAAGUCUGUGUGUAAUGGUGCAGCACUCACCUGCCUUGGUUCAACCCAUCACCCAAUGUAGCAGUAGCACCUAUCAGCACUUCCAGAGAGGAAGCAUCAGACUGCAUUUGGUUCCAUCUCUUGUCACACUGGUAGAAGAGCUGGAGAAAGCAUUUUAGCAGCUACUGGGUUGUUUCCAAGACCAACAAUGAGCCCUGUCUAACUUGAAAGCUUGCAUACUCACUCUGACCUUGUUCCAAUAAAAGAGAUAGCUGCUGAGAAUCCAGUGGGAAUAAAUUGCGGGUACCUACUGACUUUCCCAUUGUGCCUUCUUGUUUCUUAUGCAGCCUAAAGGCAAGCCAUCAGAUGAACAUUUUGGAGCGCAGGCGGCUGUAUUACAGACACCUACGCCUUGUGCAGACCCAUGGUUAAUUGACUAAUAAAUCAUCCUAGCUGAUGUGCCAUCAGAGACACAGUUGGCUUUUGAUCCACAGCUGUUUUAGAUAAAUUGGCUGUGGUGGUGACAAAGGCUGAGGAGAUGUAAUGGUAUUUCCCCUUCCUUCCUUCCUUCCUUCCUUCCUUCCUUCCUUCCUUCCUUCUGUGCCAGUCCAGUGAGAACAAGCACUUUCAGGUGAAGUCUUUAGCAGUUUUGACACAUGCAUGUGCACACAGGCAUGUCCACACACAGGCACGCUACGAAGGGAUUUAGCAUUCUUUAAAACAAUUAUUAAAUCUAUAACGCUGGCGGUGAAUAGACUUCCAGUUGUCUCUGUAGCAUUUUAUUAAAGCCUUUUGGAAUUUCUGGUGCCGAGCCAGGUAGUAGGGAUGUCGUUUUUAUUGUGGGGCCAUACACUUCCUUCAUUCUCACGUUUUAUGAACACAAACCACAAAAUCACAGCUGCACCAGGUAGACUUGGGAACAAACUCAGGAUAUAAGUCAGGCUGCUUCACAGGUUACCAGAUUUCCAUUUCAGUGAAGACAGAAACAUGCACUUAGACCCACGCUGGCCUCAACCCAGAGACACCUGAUUGGGAUUAAGUUUCACUGAAGGGAGCAAAUUAGUCAUGACUUGGAUCACCUGAUCUGGAUCGGGGCACAAGGGCAAUGCAAAUGGGGGACUGCAUCUCAUGCCUGAGAUUUGAAUGUGCAUCUGCCAUGCCUCAAUUUGCAUGUUGCAAAUUAGCCAUGCAUCCAUUUGCUCAUCAAUAUACCCCAGCUGCAUAGCAUGGUUCCAGAUCUAGCAAGGCCUGGAAAACCACCUGUGGACAUUGCUUCUGUUGGUGUGUCUCCCUUCUUGGGUCAGGUUGAAGUAUAUGUCGUUUUUAAAUGUUCAGCAUGAUGGGUUAAAGCCAACCUGUAGAACAAGCACGGUAUAGUCAGUCAAAGAAUAGAGCAGAUUUGGUGAAUGGUAGUAAAUUCUGUGUUCCCAAGCAUGGCCACUGUUUUAUGCGUCCUUUUCUAGAGUUCUGUGUGUGGAAGGAACGAACUUUUUUUUCUUAUAUACUGACAAAUGCACUUGUAUUUAUUGUUCAGAGAAUGACUUUGAUCUGUACCCGUUAUAGUUUCCUAUCAGUUGAGACUCCCCAGCCCCUCCCUCCCUAUACAUAUAAUAUGCAGAUUCUGUGCCAGUCUUACCAGUAUCGGUUGCAUUUUUAAGACAGUACUUCUGUGUGAUCCUACUGUGUGUCGGUAGCAGCAACUUUGUUGUAAAAUGUAAGCAGGGGGAAGAAACUUAAAACUGAAUUCUUGUGUUUGUGUUUCGCUUGUUUGCUUGUAGAAACAGUACUGAGACUUGCAUGUUCAUGAUAUUGCAGCCUUCACCAUCCUGAGGCCCUCCAAAUAUUUUGGACUACAAAACCCAUCACCCCUUGCCAGCGCAUGUGCUGAUGGGUUUUGUAGUCCAAAACAUCUGGAGAGUCCCAAGUUGGCGAAAGCUAUUGUAUCGAUUAUUUCCCCUCCUCAUUGCUAGUUGUUGCACAGUUAUGCAAUUGUUUUCAGUUGUAUAGGAAACUUGCAUUCCUUGUUUGUUUGCUUGUUUGUUUUAAAAUGGGGAUUUGUUACAAUCUAAUUUUUUAAAUAAUCUGUUUGAUUGCGUUUGUGUGUUUUUUUAAACCAUACCUGCUCUUUGCUGCUCAGGGGUUGCUGCCAGGAGAACAUUUUGUUCCCCAAACAUGGUGGUUUUCAUGGACUCCUAUCUUGCAUGGUAGGGCGACACCACUGCUUUGCUCAAAGUUAGAGGAGGUCCCUGUCCAUGGGGCUUUGGCUCUAGGUUUCCCUUGUGGCAGUAGCUGAGACUGGGAACCAGCCACCCUUGUCAAUUUCCCACAAUGCUUUGGGACAGCCUUUUCUGACCUUGGGUCCUCUGGUGUUGUUGGACCUCAACUCCCAUCAGCCCCAGCCAGCAUGGCCAAUAGUCAUGAAUGAUUGGCAGUUCCACAAUAUCUGGGGAAGGGCUGCUCUAGGGCACUGUGGACUAUUUGAACUGGCAGGCAGGUUCAUAGAACAAGGGCGAGAAGAAGGGCUAAAGGAAGAGGCUUGUGAAGUCUGCUAAACUGCUGGGGAUCUCAUGUAAUGGCGCCAAGCCUAGCUUCAUUCAACAGCAUCCCCAAUAAGAACGUAAGAGUCUGUUGGAUCAGGCCCUUGUAGUCCAGAUUCCUGAUCAGACAGUGGCCAAUCAGAUGCCUAUGGGGAAACCAUAAGCAGGGUCCCCAAAGCCCCCAUCCCUUUCAUGGGACACCUACAAGAUCUCACACACAAAUAUUCCAUCACCAGCCACUCAAUCGCUUGCUCAGCUCUAUCCGGUCUUCUCAUUCUUAGGAAGGCUGUAGAUUAGAGCUGGAGCUUUCGUUCCCCCUUGCUUAACUUCUGUGGUUAAAAAAAGUACAUACUUUAGGAACUGAAUGCAGACUUACUGUGCUGUCCCAACCAAGCUCUAUUGAAUUCAAUGGGACUUGCUCCCAGGUAAGUGAGACUAGGCUUGCAGCCUUAAUCAUAGACCCCCUGAAAACCAUGAGUCUACUCUAAGUGUGACUUAAGUAUGAAUCCAACCCAUUAAAAAGAGUUGUCCAGGGUGUUUUGCCCAGCGUAACAUUUCUGAGAUGUUUGCUCAGUUAUUACCAUGUUAACUUUUGACAUGUAAAGUUGCCACGGUUAUUUUUUAAUCAUCCCAGGUUCCUAAAUUAAAUAUUUUUAAUCCGUCAUCAGACAAGAGGCAGUAUUUACAAUGGGCAGGAUCCAAAUCAAAAUGAAGCACCUUUAAGGCUACAAUCCUAUGCACACUUAUUCAGUGGGACUUGCUGCAAAGGAAAUGCAUAUUAUGGAGUGGUGAAGGUAUCAGCUGGUGGGGGGACUGUGAGGUGGGGGCCUCCAAGUGCCCACAUGCUCAACCUAUGGGGAGUUUGGAUCCAGACUUUUUGGAGUGGGCCUAUUGUUUAAUUCACCUGUUUCCGCACUUGGAUGGAAUCCCUUGUGGACUGCAUGCUACGGUCAGGCAUAAUGUCUGUUGUUGUUGUUGUUUUAAAAUGUGAAAAUUGUAGCCAAGUAUAGCCCAUAAAUAUUUUAAAAGCAGCAAAGUGUGUUGGUUUAAAAAACAGAAGAGGGAGAUGCAUUUGUGACAAUGUCUUUUACAGUGCCAAACAUAUGAACAGUAUUGUUUUGAAGGAAGUUAAGACUUUUUUUACUGUAUUAUUGAACAAAUAUUGUUUUUAAAUGUUAGAUUUUGAAUAAUUUUGUAUUGUAAACUUGUUUUGUGACAUGGUGCUUUUUCAUACUGGAAUUACUGAUUGCACCUGACUAUAAUUAUUCUGUUUUCUUAUAUGAAUACAUAACCUCAAACAAAUCUUUAUGAAAACCAGUGUAUGGCUGAGACCUGAGGUUUGCAAAUAUAAAGUCCUCCAUAAAGCCCCUAAAUGUUAUUGCCUCUAAUAAAUAUUCUGCUGCAUCCAGG